CAAAUAUUAAAUCAAACAAAAAAGCUUGAAUAUGGAAUUUAAUCGUCAAGAAUAUGAUAUAUGGAAAAUGGAGAGCAAGUUUGUCCCAGUCGAGCACACUUGACUGCAGAUUUUCAACUUGUUCUUAUUAAAUUAACUAAUAUGUUGAAAUUAAUAAAAUAUUUUAAAAACAAUUUUCAUUAAAAAUAUAUCUGGUUCCAUGUGACAAUGGCUGACCUUGACUUCAAAAAAACUCACUCGUAUAGGUGGCAGUCAGUAGAAUGAAAGCUGAUUAACGGAAUCAAUUGGCUCAAAAUUUAUCGGCGGAAUAAGCUGUGGUACCGUGGAUUGAAGCGAAAACGAUUUCUAUAGGACCUCUGAUAGUCUCUUAGAUCUAUGUAUGCAUGUAGGUGCUCAUGAAGAUAGAGGAACAGACGGACACGGCUACAUAGUCUAGGCUGUUGACCAUAAUAAAUAAUAUGUUUUACACAAUAUAUUAAUACUUAAUAUUGUACAUUCUGUUCAAAAACCACAAGCGAGAAGCGCAUAAUUUUAUUUAUCUUAUGUUAAUUACCUGAAUCUUUGAAUAAGUUUAUCUAUAACCAUGGAGUAGCAAGCACAGGACAGCGAAUAC